GCCAGGUGUGGUGACUCACACCUGUAAUCCAAGCACUCUGGGAGGCUGAGGCGGGUGGAUCACCUGAGAUCAGGAAUUUGAGAUCAGCCUGGUCAACAUGGUGAAACCCUGUCUCUA
ensembl:misc_RNA Metazoa_SRP Metazoan signal recognition particle RNA